CAGCUUGUUGGUGAGGUAAAAGCUCACCAAGGCGACGAUCCUUAGCUGGUCUGAGAGGAUGAUCAGCCACACUGGGACUGAGACACGGCCCAGACUCCUACGGGAGGCAGCAGUGGGGAAUAUUGGACAAUGGGCGAAAGCCUGAUCCAGCAAUGCCGCGUGAGUGAUGAAGGCCUUAGGGUUGUAAAGCUCUUUUACCCGGGAUGAUAAUGACAGUACCGGGAGAAUAAGCUCCGGCUAACUCCGUGCCAGCAGCCGCGGUAAUACGGAGGGAGCUAGCGUUGUUCGGAAUUACUGGGCGUAAAGCGCGCGUAGGCGGCUUUGUAAGUUAGAGGUGAAAGCCCGGAGCUCAA
rnacentral:rRNA from 1 species